AAAUCAAAUUUUACUUAUCAUCUCUACCUAUGUCUUAGCCCAGCCGUGCUUGUCGAAAAUGGGAAGUUCCUCUUAUCAGCCAAAAGAGUUCGUCGGACUACUUGCACUGAGUACAUAAUAUCGAUGGACGCAGACAAUAUAUCAAGGACAAGCAAUAGUUACAUUGGAAAGCUGAGAUCAAAUUUCCUAGGAACAAAAUUUUUAAUCUAUGAUAG
rnacentral:misc_RNA from 1 species